rnacentral:lncRNA from 1 species
CUGAAGACGUGGUCGCCGACCAUACCGAGGAUGAUAGAAGUGGCUGCCCACCCUGGUCUGCCUGGGAGGACGAUACCAAGGGCUCUACCAAGUACACCAGCCUCGCCAACUCAGCCAGCAGCUCCCGCUGGAGCCUCCGGUCAGCGGGAAAGCUGGUCAGCAUCAGGCGACAGAGCAAAGGCCACCUGACAGAGACCUGUGAAGAGGGAGAAUGAACCGAAGGCGCAUCACAUUGCUUUAUGGUUGGCAAGCCCGCCAGCCGCCUACUAGUGCACCAUUAAUUCUUGAGCCCUCUCAUACCCGGGGAAGGAACCCACUGAGUUGCUAGUGUUUCGUGCUCAGUGACCCACACACACCAUGGCUUCCGGGUGACAUCUGGUUGCCUUGCUGCGGAAACAUCCACCCACUGGGUGCAUAUAUGCUGAAUGGAUGUGUGCGCUGUAGACACUGUCCUGUGAGCCAGUCUCCUCUAAGUUCAUGCCAGCCUCAGUCACUUGAGAUUUUAGGACGUCCCCAUCUUGUCUCUGCAUGCAACAUGAGUGUUGUGGCUAUCUGAACAUGGCCUCUGUGGCACCUCUCCCCUUGUCAGAACGCAAGAAGCAUCUUCCGAAGGUUACAGUAAUUCAGUGUAACAAUAGAUUCAUUUUUCCUCAUUCAGUUACAAACGAAGCAAAAUCUAGAUGCUGGAAGCAACUGAAGGUGGUUUGAGGUAGGGUGUCAGGACAUCUUGAGGGGCGCAUCUGCUGAGGAGGAGUGGCCUGCAGUGUGGGCCUGGGUAGCAAGUAGUUCUUUUAUGGAAUUCUAUUUUUACUUUUGAACGUUUAAAUACAGAUCUUUAUUUUCUUCAAAUAAAUGUUGAUUUUAAACUUAAAGAUGGAAGAAACACUAGGAAUAAGUUUUAGUCACCCAGUAAUCUUGACUUUGCUUGGAAAACAUUAACUUGCUUACUGUAGCGUUAAACUGUGGAUAAAACACUGAAGUGCCUCGUUUCUAUUCUCAGAUGCUUAGUUUUUCAAAAUGAAAAACUUUUAUGAUUGAUGUGAAGUCUAUAAGAAGUGUCUCUACCCCCUAGUUCUGCCUGUCUCACACUGCUGACUGUCCUCGGUUGCGGUCUCAGUAGGGAAUGUUCACGUGGUGCGCAUGUUUGUCUUGUUUUCCAGUUACAGUGCUUGGACAGGGGAGCCGUGGUUCUCUUUGUUUUGGUUAAUAAUGAAAAGCCUCCAGUCACACUGUCCUCGAGUCUCCACAGUGUAAGCAGUGUGCUUCGUGUACCUGCGUGUCCCACGCAAUGUUCUGUGGCACAGCUGAGUGGCCCGGGUUUACUAGAUCUACCUGUCAUUCACAGCUACCUGUCUGUCUACCACCCAGCUUGCCAGCCACCCGUACCCAUCCACCUGUCCACACAUCAGUCUGUCCACCCAUAAACCAAGCUAUUAAUCUUCUAACAAUAGAACAAUAAGUUUACUUAGUGAGCUUUGAGAGGAGGGUUCAAAUAAAAAAUUGUUAACACCUGGAAGUUGUGAAAUUAUGGAGAUUUUGAUUCAUAAUGCAAAGCAUGUAAUUUUUACUAUAACAUGUGAGUGUGAAAAUCUCUAUCCUCAGGUAACCGGUUGAGUGCAUGAGCUCUGACUUCGAAACGAGGUAACUGUAGGAUCGGAAGGAAGAGCAGGCUCAUGCUGUCGCCCACAGCAGGACCCCACUGGUGUGUCUGGCUAACCACCUGUGGCCCAGGAAUACAAACCCAGCCUUGAGAAUGUAGGGAAGGAGCUCUUGAACACAACACAGCCUCUGUCUGUGUCUACUGGGCCUGUGCUGAGUGCUAAGUGCCUGUAGCUCACUGCACCCGUGUGCCUGAGAUGCAGUGUUGCACGUUGACACAGGGACUUUUACCCUGUCUCCUCUCAGGAGGUGAAGAUGCACUGUAAACCAGAAAGAUUAAUUACAAAUGAUUUUUUUCUUCUGUUGUAUCAAAUUAAAAUAUCUUGUGUUCG